rnacentral:tRNA from 2 species
GCAUUGGUGGUUUAGUGGUAGAAUUCUCGCCUGCCACGCGGGAGACCCGGGUCCGAUUCCCGGCCAAUGCA